UCCUGUGUUGCUCAUUUGGUAAGAGCAUGGCACUGGCAAUGCCAAGGUUUUGGAUUUCAGUUCCCACUGGAA
rnacentral:tRNA from 1 species